AUCCCACCUGGGGAAUUUUCUGGGUUUCUGAGAGGUCAGCAGGCAAAGCUCCCUCCCAUGGUACAGGGAGCCUGGCCUCCCGGCUGUCACAGGCAAGUUCCAGAUCUCAGGGUGUGCAGACUCCGUCUCAGUGGGGCCUGGGAGCAGACUGGGGGAGAUGCUGCUCCUUUCCACAGCAGGUGGUUCUGGUCUCCAUCUGAGGCUCUCCACCGCUUUCCUCCCAGGAACUGCGUUCACCUCAUGUUGCUUGUUACCUAACUGAUGAACUAUCCGAGUCAGCGUGGUACUUCUCUGAGGCUCUCCAGCUCUGCACUAGCUGGGCCCCCGAGGAGCUCCUGAGAGCAGCCCAUGGCAGGCCCAACGCACUGAUCUGGUAUAUUCUGAGAUCCAUCUUCUUGCUCUCUUGUCUCUCUCUCUCUGUCUUCCACACAGCGCUCCUCUUUUUUUCUCCUCUCUCUCUGGAAGUAUGGAGUUUAUUGGCCUCUGCUGGAGGGAAAAACAAUCACAAACUUAAUUACUGUAAGAUCCAAACCCUGCCUGGCUGUUUUUGGUUUCAGGGUGGUUCCCAGUGAAUCACUAGGGCACACCCUCUCUCAGCUUAGGGCUCUUCUGGGUCCCAUUGGCUUGACCACCUGGAAAAUGGGAGGAUUUUCUGAAGGAAGGGCAAGUUUUGAAAGGAAAAACCAGAUGCCUGAGAGCUUCUCUGUCUCCCAAGCCCACAGGGGCCCAAGCCAAGCCCAGUCUCACAGGAGAGGGCUGGCAGGAGGCUGUGGCCUCUCCCAGAGAGCGCCUUCCCCUGAAAAGGUGUGGGAGCCACGGAAUUCUUUCUCGAUUUUGGUCUUCGGAAUAUGGUACACUAGACUUGAAGAGCUGCUCCUGAAGAAGCUCCUGGACAGACCUGCCUGAGGUCACAUGUGGAAGGGCAGAGGCAGUUACUGAAGAACCACACUCGGGCCUCAGGACACCAAGGAGCCUGUGGUGAGACGCCGCUCCCCAGACAUGCGGCCAUCGAGACCCAGUGCUUCGUCCGCUCCCUCCCAGAAAUUCCCGUUCUCUGCUCUACAGCUGUCAGAAACCUUAACUAACUGAAGGAAAUGGAUUCUAUUGCACA